ACAGAGGGUGCGAGCGUUAAUCGGAAUUACUGGGCGUAAAGCGCGCGUAGGCGGCUUUGUAAGCCGGAUGUGAAAUCCCCGGGCUUAACCUGGGAACUGCAUUCGGGACUGCAUUACUAGAGUAUGGGAGAGGGAAGUGGAAUUUCAGGUGUAGCGGUGAAAUGCGUAGAGAUCGGGAGGAACACCAGAGGCGAAGGCGGCGACCUGGACAGUUACUGACACUCAACUGUGAAAGCGUGGGGAGCAAACAGGA
rnacentral:rRNA from 1 species